rnacentral:lncRNA from 1 species
GUCACCAUUGGAUCUCAUAUAACAAUGGUCACCUUUACAAUGUCAGAUCAGGACCCAGAGUGAUGGUUACUUUAUGUGAUUUCAGUUUAAAUUGAUGAGGUACAAUUUUGAAACCUCAUAGGUAUUGGGCAGAGACUUUAAUGUGUUAUCUGUAUUUAUCCAAAGUGUUUUAUCCAUAAUAUGGUUUCAUCAAUUUUAUUUGUUAAUGAUUGGGUACCUGGAAAUUGGUAUUUGGCAUCAGGAUGGUGAAGCAUAUCAGAGGUAGGAAGUGAGACUAGUCUGGCAUCUGAAAAAAAUUAUGGAAUUUUACAGUUUAUAGAUUUCUUUAAAUUUUGAUCUUCACAAUAACCCUGUGAAGCAGGCAGGAGGAACCUAGUAUUUCUAUUUUAACAAAUAGAAAACAGUCUCACAGACACUAAGGAAGUGAAAGGGCUCAGGAUUGCCUAGUUAGCAAUCCUGUACAUAUAGAACUAGAGUCCACGUUUCCUGAAUAUUGGAAAGUACAAGAGUUCUGGUGUUAAAUCAAGAUUGGAGGCAUAAUUAGGCCACUUAUUAGCUUUGUGUUCUGUUGAGCAAGCUUCAAAACAACUGGCAACAGUUUUCCUAUUUUGUAAAGUGAAGUACUUGGGGUUUAACUAAAGAUUAAAUAACAUUUGAUGAUUGAUU